rnacentral:lncRNA from 1 species
UCCCAGGUUAUGGGAGGGUUUGGAUCCCACUUUCACGUUUAACCCUGCCACAUUUUGUAUAUUUGUGUUUGUCCCAAGUCAGGAGCCUGUAAUUGAGUGGUUGUCGUUUGUUGAUGUGUUACAUAUUUGUUUUCUCGUUUGAAAUGUUUUACAUUUGUCAUUUCGGGGCUUUUUAUUUCUGAAUAUGCCGUAUGGGCUUUGCUCAUUGGUGGAGGUCCGAGGCCGUACGGUGACAUAUAGUUGUUAACUUCUUUUUUAUAAUACAUUGAUGAAUGAUCUACCUUCAGUCAUAGAUAGUACCUGUGAGUAUGUUACUCCUGAUAAUUCAAAAAUCCCAUGUCUUCUUUAUGUGGACUAUUUAGUUUUAC